UACGGAAGGCAGCAGUGGGGAAUAUUGGACAAUGGGCGAAAGCCUGAUCCAGCCAUGCCGCAUGAGUGAAGAAGGCCUUCGGGUUGUAAAGCUCUUUUAGUGAGAAAGAUAAUGACGGUACUCACAGAAGAAGUCCUGGCUAACUCCGUGCCAGCAGCCGCGGUAAUACGGAGAGGGCUAGCGUUAUUCGGAAUUAUUGGGCGUAAAGAGCGCGUAGGCUGAUUAGUAAGUUAAAAGUGAAAUCCCAAAGCUUAACUUUGGAAUUGCUUUUUAAAGCUGCUAGUCUAGAGAUUGAAAGAGGAUAGAGGAAUUCCUAGUGUAGAGGUGAAAUUCGUAAAUAUUAGGAGGAACACCAGUGGCGAAGGCGUCUAUCUGGUUCAAAUCUGACGCUGAGGGCGCGAAGGCGUGGGGAGCAAACGAGGGAUUAGAUACC
rnacentral:rRNA from 1 species